AACGAACGCUGGCGGCAUGCCUAACACAUGCAAGUCGAACGAGACCUUCGGGUCUAGUGGCGCACGGGUGCGUAACGCGUGGGAACCUGCCCUUAGGUUCGGAAUAACUCCCCGAAAGGGGUGCUAAUACCAGAUAAUGUCUUCGGACCAAAGAUUUAUCGCCUUUGGAUGGGCCCGCGUUGGAUUAGCUAGUUGGUAGGGUAAAAGCCUACCAAGGCGACGAUCCAUAGCUGGUCUGAGAGGAUGAUCAGCCACACUGGGACUGAGGCACGGCCCAGACUCCUACGGGAGGCAGCAGUGGGGAAUAUUGGACAAUGGGCGAAAGCCUGAUCCAGCAAUGCCGCGUGAGUGAUGAAGGCCUUAGGGUUGUAAAGCUCUUUUACCCGGGAUGAUAAUGACAGUACCGGGAGAAUAAGCUCCGGCUAACUCCGUG
rnacentral:rRNA from 1 species